rnacentral:rRNA from 1 species
GGAUUGCCUCAGUAACGGCGAGUGAAGCGCAACAGCUCAAAUUUGAAAUCUGGCCUCACGGUCCGAGUUGUAAUUUGUAGAGGAUGCUUUUGGCAAGGUACUUUCCGAGUUCCCUGGAACGGGACGCCAUAGAGGGUGAGAGCCCCGUACGGUUAGACCACCGAGCCUCUGUAAAGCUCCUUCGACGAGUCGAGUAGUUUGGGAAUGCUGCUCUAAAUGGGAGGUGUACGUCUUCUAAAGCUAAAUACCGGCCAGAGACCGAUAGCGCACAAGUAGAGUGAUCGAAAGAUGAAAAGCACUUUGAAAAGAGGGUUAAAAAGUACGUGAAAUUGUUGAAAGGGAAGCAUUCAUGACCAGACUUGGGCUUGGUUGAACAUCCGGCGUUCUCGGCUGCACUCUGCCAGUCCAGGCCAGCAUCAGUUUGCCCCGGGGGACAAAGGCGGUGGGAA